AGAAUGCUAGCAUGCCAGUGUCCCAUCAUUAACAGGUGGAGGAGAAGAGCAGGUGGAGGAGAACGAUUUCUGUGGGAUUCUCAAAGUAAAUGGGCAAUUUUCAUGCACAUGGAGAAUCUAUUUCUGCAGACUGAAUUCAGGCCAGACCUGCUCUGUCAAAGCCUGACAGAGAGACCCGAGAUGCCACAGAAAAUGGCUGAAACAUUUGGGAUUCUGGAAGCGACAGGCAGAGCGAAUGAGAGCUGUGGAAAUGAUAACCCCUCCAUGGGUCCAGACUUCACUGUCUAAAAGGUCACUCUAGACCCCCAGCUCAGGGUGAUGCCUGCUGCCUUUGAUCAGAGCCCUCCUGUCAUUGACUGUGACUCAGAUCUGCCCUCUCCACUCCAUCCUCAACCCCAAGAGUCUUCACACCAAUCCGCACCCCAGCUCCAAGCACAAGGCAUUACAAGAAGGUCCAGCGGUUCCUACUUUAGACUACACAACAAAGGAAAUGAAAACCCAGCC
rnacentral:lncRNA from 1 species